rnacentral:rRNA from 1 species
UCGGAAAUACUGGGCGUAAAGCGCACGUAGGCGGCGUCGUAAGUCAGGGGUGAAAUCCCGCAGCUCAACUGCGGAACUGCCUUUGAUACUGGGUAUCUGGAGUAUGGAAGAGGUAAGUGGAAUUCCGAGUGUAGAGGUGAAAUUCGUAGAUAUUCGGAGGAACACCAGUGGCGAAGGCGGCUUACUGGUCCAUUACUGACGCUGAGGUGCGAAAGCGUGGGGAGCAAACAG